GACGAACGCUGGCGGCGUGCUUAACACAUGCAAGUCGAACGGUAAGGCCCUUCGGGGUACACGAGUGGCGAACGGGUGAGUAACACGUGGGUGAUCUGCCCUGCACUUCGGGAUAAGCCUGGGAAACUGGGUCUAAUACCGGAUAGGACUCCUGGCUUCAUGGUUGGGGGUGGAAAGCGUUUGCGGUGUGGGAUGGGCCCGCGGCCUAUCAGCUUGUUGGUGGGGUAAUGGCCUACCAAGGCGACGACGGGUAGCCGGCCUGAGAGGGUGACCGGUCACACUGGGACUGAGAUACGGCCCAGACUCCUACGGGAGGCAGCAGUGGGGAAUAUUGCACAAUGGGCGCAAGCCUGAUGCAGCGACGCCGCGUGAGGGAUGACGGCCUUCGGGUCGUAAACCUCUUUCAGCUAUGACGAAGCGCAAGUGACGGUAGUAGCAGAAGAAGGACCGGCCAACUACGUGCCAGCCGCCGCUGUAA
rnacentral:rRNA from 1 species